AUGCUUCUGGCUAGAGAUCUAUUCCACCUUUCCCUGGAAGAGGAAAAGAAAAAAUAUAAGAAGAAACAGCUGGUUCAGAGCCCAAGUUCUCAUUUCAUGGAUGUGAAAUGUCCAAGUUACUACAAGAUUACUACAGUUUUCAGCCAUAUUCAGACAGUGGUUCUUUGUGUGUGUUGCUCAACAGUGUUGUGCCAGUUCACAGGAGGAAAAAGCCAGGCUCACAGAGGGCUGUUCAUUUAGAAGAAAGCAACAUUAA
rnacentral:lncRNA from 1 species